AACGAACGCUGGCGGCAUGCCUAACACAUGCAAGUCGAACGAGACCUUCGGGUCUAGUGGCGCACGGGUGCGUAACGCGUGGGAACCUGCCCUUAGGUUCGGAACAACUCCCCGAAAGGGGUGCUAAUACCGGAUAAUGUCUUCGGACCAAAGAUUUAUCGCCUUUGGAUGGGCCCGCGUUGGAUUAGCUAGUUGGUAGGGUAAAAGCCUACCAAGGCGACGAUCCAUAGCUGGUCUGAGAGGAUGAUCAGCCACACUGGGACUGAGACACGGCCCAGACUCCUACGGGAAGCAGCAGUGGGGAAUAUUGGACAAUGGGCGAAAGCCUGAUCCAGCAAUGCCGCGUGAGUGAUGAAGGCCUUAGGGUUGUAAAGCUCUUUUACCCGGGAUGAUAAUGUCAGUACCGGGAGAAUAAGCUCCGGCUAACUCCGUG
rnacentral:rRNA from 1 species